rnacentral:rRNA from 1 species
AGACCGAUAGCGAACAAGUAGAGUGAUCGAAAGAUGAAAAGCACUUUGGAAAGAGAGUUAAAAAGCACGUGAAAUUGUUGAAAGGGAAGCGCUCACAACCAGACUUCUGGGCGGUGUUCCGCCGGUCUUCUGACCGGUCUACUCACCGUCCCGAGGCCAACAUCAUCUGGGACCGCCGGAUAAGACCUUAGGAAUGUAGCUCCCCUCGGGGAGUGUUAUAGCCUGUGGUGAUGCGGCGCGUCUCGGGUGAGGUCCGCGCUUCGGCAAGGAUGUUGGCGUAAUGGUUGUCAGCGGCCCGUCUUGAAACACGGACCAAG